rnacentral:ncRNA from 2 species
UAAUAUAAUAAGACAACAGGUUUGAAAUAAUAUUUAUUAUUUCAAUUAAAAGGGAAACAGGUGUAACUCCUGUACGGUCCCGCCGCUGUAAUAAAAGAGUAGUGCAGAAUAUGCCACUGUUAAUAUGGGAAGGCUUUGUACUAUGUUGAUUUUUAAGUCAGAAGACCUGCCUGUUGUUAUAGAUCAUA